GACGAACGCUGGCGGCGUGCUUAACACAUGCAAGUCGAACGAAGUGGCGAACGGGUGAGUAACGCGUAAUCAACCUGCCCUUCAGAGGGGGACAACAGUUGGAAACGACUGCUAAUACCGCAUACUGAAGGCGGGGAUUGCGUCUGAUUAGCUCGUUGGAGGGGUAACGGACCACCAUGGCGAUGAUCAGUAGCCGGUCUUGGAGGAUGAACGGCCACAUGUGGACGGAGACACGGCCCAGACGCCGAGGGGGGGCAGCAGUGGGGAAUCUUCCGCAAUGGACGAAAGUCUGACGGAGCAACGCCGCGGGAGGGAUGACGGCCUUCGGGUUGGAAAGCUCUGUUAAGCGGGACGCGGUACCGGAAUAGAAAGCCACGGCUAACUACGUGCCAGCCGCCGCGGUAAUAC
rnacentral:rRNA from 1 species